GACCUCAAAUCAAACAAAACAACCCGCU
rnacentral:rRNA from 1 species